rnacentral:rRNA from 1 species
GACGAACGCUGGCGGCGUGCUUAACACAUGCAAGUCGAACGGAAAGGCCCUUCGGGGUACUCGAGUGGCGAACGGGUGAGUAACACGUGGGUGAUCUGCCCUGCACUUUGGGAUAAGCCUGGGAAACUGGGUCUAAUACCGAAUAGGACCGCAUGCUUCAUGGUGUGUGGUGGAAAGCUUUUGCGGUGUGGGAUGGGCCCGCGGCCUAUCAGCUUGUUGGUGGGGUAAUGGCCGACCAAGGCGACGACGGGUAGCCGGCAUGAGAGGGUGACCGGGCAAACUGGAGCUGGGAUACGGCCCAGACUCCAACGGGAGGCAGCAGUGGGGAAUAUUGCACAAUGGGCGCAAGCCUGAUGCAGCGACGCCGCGUGAGGGAUGACGGCCUUCGGGUUGUAAACCUCUUUCAGCAGGGACGAAGCGCAAGUGACGGUACCUGCAGAAGAAGGACCGGCCAACUACGUGCCAGCCGCCGCCGUAA